UUAACUUCAUUUCGGUGUUGUUUUAAUGUGUAAAAUGUGAACGUCUUGUGUGUGUGCUGUUAUUUUAAUUUACGACGACUUUUUAUAAUUUAGUAUUUAUUUAGGGGUUCUUUCCUAUAUUAGUUUAGCGCACUUGGAAGAAAAUUAUAAUAAAUUGAUAAAGAAAUGAUGACUUUGGCCCCCCAUAGCUACAAAACAAAGCAAAAUCGGAUCUAUAAAUCA